AUUGAACGCUGGCGGCAGGCCUAACACAUGCAAGUCGAACGAGUGGCGGACGGGUGAGUAAUGUCUGGGAAACUGCCUGAUGGAGGGGGAUAACUACUGGAAACGGUAGCUAAUACCGCCUACCCUCCGAUGUGCCCAGAUGGGAUUAGCUAGUGGGUGGGGUAAAGGCUCACCUAGGCGACGAUCCCUAGCUGGUCUGAGAGGAUGACCAGCCACACUGGAACUGAGACACGGUCCAGACUCCUACGGGAGGCAGCAGUGGGGAAUAUUGCACAAUGGGCGCAAGCCUGAUGCAGCCAUGCCGCGUGUAUGAAGAAGGCCUUCGGGUUGUAAAGUACUUUCAGCGGGGAGGCGUUACCCGCAGAAGAAGCACCGGCUAACUCCGUGCCAGCAGCCGCGGUAAUAC
rnacentral:rRNA from 1 species